UGAAGUGAACCAAUGAGCAAAUUAUGAAACCAAACUGGGUCAUUAAAUAAGGUAAGAACUCAAGACACCAAAGAAAGGAAAGAGGGAGUGAAAAGUGUAGGUCCUUGAAGUGAACCAAUGAGCAAAUUAUGAAAUCAAACUGGGUCAUUAAAUAAGGUAAGAACUCAAGACACCAAAGAAAGAAAAGAGGGAGUGAAAAGUGUAGGUCCUUGCAGUGAACCAAUGUGCAAAUUAUGAAAUCAAACUGGGUCAUUAAAUAAGGUAAGAACUCAAGACACCAAAGAAAGGAAAGAGGGAGUGAAAAGUGUAGGUCCUUGAAGUGAACCAAUGAGCAAAUUAUGAAAUCAAACUGGGUCAUUAAAUAAGGUAAGAACUUAAGACACCAGAGAAAGGAAAGAGGGAGUGAAAAGUGUAGGUCCUUGAAGUGAACCAAUGUGCAAAUUAUGAAAUCAAACUGGGUCAUUAAAUAAGGUAAGAACUCAAGACACCAAAGCAAGGAAAGAGGGUGUGAAAAGUGUAGGUCCUUGAAGUGAACCAAUGAGCAAAUUAUGAAACCAAACUGGGUCAUUAAAUAAGGUAAGAACUUAAGACACCAAAGAAAGGAAAGAGGGAGUGAAAAGUGUAGGUCCUUGCAGUGAACCAAUGUGCAAAUUAUGAAACCAAACUGGGUCAUUAAAUAAGGUAAGAACUUAAGACACCAAAGAAAGGAAAGAGGGAGUGAAAAGUGUAGGUCCUUGAAGUGAACCAAUGUGCAAAUUAUGAAACCAAACUGGGUCAUUAAAUUAGGUAAGAACUUAAGACACCAGAGACAGGAAAGAGGGAGU